UGAUAUAGCUCAGUUGGUAGAGCAGCUCAUUCGUAAUGAGCAGGUCGUCGGUUCGAGUCCGACUAUCA
rnacentral:tRNA from 1 species